AUGUGUGCAAGCAUGUAUAAUAUCAGCAGUUGCAAAACUAUCCAGGCAGAAGGAGGUGAUGGAGUGACCUGAAAGAAGCACUGAACCAUUUGUUAAUUGGGCGCCAGGGAGACUCUUAAAAGGGUACAUGAUUUGAGUGAGUCUCAUUGAGGUGGACUGAUGGAGAAGUGAUGGUUGACUUAAAAUAAACCGGGAAAGAAUGGAACCACAUGUUCUGAACAUGCCCAAGAAGCAUCAUUGUAAAGACUGCUGCGUGAUUUGAUUAGAUCAGAUGUUUCAUGACAAUGAUGGGGGACUUGGACAUUCUUUGCAAUUCUUUCCUGCCAAGUUGGCUUAGACGUCUUCUGGUACUCCCAAGGUUCAAGAAUUCUGUUUGUUGCCUGGCCUGAUGCACGAGAGCAACUGAUACUUCGAAGAAAUCAUUUUAAUUCAGUAGUAUUGAUGCAUAAUUAAUAUAUGUAUUGAACUAUAACAACAUUAAGCAAUUGGAGUCCUUCGUAGUGGCACAGGCUGAAUUUCUUUUCUCCCUUCCCAAGGGACAGAGAGCAGAUUCUGUGCUGCCAAGGAGCUUAAGAAUUGGGACUGUUUUUGUCAGGCAUUACUGUAUUUUAGAGAUUGCAUUAGCUGGGGUGGGGCUGUAGCUUGGUAGGAAAGGGAUGGCUUUUGUGUGUGUAUAACAUUCUAGGUUCUUAGCAUCUCCAGUUAAAAAGAAUCUGCUAGCAAAAAACUACCUGCAGCCACACUAAUUUGCCAGAUAAUCUGAUGAUGUAUUCUACGGACCAGCAGCAUGGCUAUGUAAGGCAGUCACACAUCUGUUCACUUAAUUUAUAAAUUGCACCCUCCGCCUGCCAGGCAACUUGGGCUCUGUCCGACAAAAAUAUUGUUAAACUUACUAGUAAACCCAAGAGUAAAGAUCAUACAAUAAAAUCUGAGAACUGCA